rnacentral:lncRNA from 1 species
UCCAGACGGAGUCUACCUGCGGUCGAAGUCGCCCUGCUGUUGAAGUCGAGGAUGAAGUCCGGCUCCCGUAGGAGUCCGGACGGUGUCUACCUGCAGUCGAAGUCACCCUGCUGUUGAAAUCGAGGAUGAAGUCCGGCUUCCGUAGGAGUCCAGACGGAGUCUACCUGCGGUCGAAGUCGCCCUGCUGUUGAAGUCGAGGACGAAGUCUGGCUCCCGUAGGAGUCCGGACGGAGUCUACCUGCAGUCGAAGUCGGGGACAAAAUUUGGCUUCCGUGGGAGUCCGGACGGAGUCUACUGCAGUCGAAGUCGGGGAUGAAGUCCGACUCCCGUGGAAGUCCGGAAGGAGUCUACCUGUGGUUGAAGUCGAGGACGAAGUCCGGCUCCUGUAGGAGUCUGGACGGAGUCUACCUGCAGUCGAAGUUGCCCUGCUAUUGAAGUCGAGGAUGAAGUCCGGCUCCCGUAGGAGUCGGACGGAGUCUACCUGC